UACGGGGGGGGCAAGCGUUGUUCGGAAUUACUGGGCGUAAAGGGCGCGUAGGCGGCCUGCUAAGUCGGAUGUGAAAUCCCUCGGCUCAACCGAGGAACUGCAUCCGAUACUGGCGGGCUUGAAUCCGGGAGAGGGAUGUGGAAUUCCAGGUGUAGCGGUGAAAUGCGUAGAUAUCUGGAGGAACACCGGUGGCGAAGGCGGCAUCCUGGACCGGUAUUGACGCUGAGGCGGCGAAAGCUAGGGGAGCAAACGGG
rnacentral:rRNA from 1 species